AGUUGUAUCUGUGAGCCAGGAUAGAGAGUGGCUCAGCUUCCUGAGAUAAAGAAACUAAGACUGAGAGAGGUUAAGGAACUCCACUGAUGCCUCACAGCAGAUGUUCGGCAACCCCUGUGCCUUCCAGAUGUUCUUUAAGCCCCCAUUGCUGGUGACAGCCGGCUCUAAUUAAGGAUUCUCCUGAGCCACACUUUCUGAAGGAGGGAGGCCAAGCAGCCUCACAUCCUACACCUGGACCCUUUUUCAGGUCGUCCAGGGGUUCACGCAGGCUGAGGACUAACUAAAUAACCCUGAUCUCUCUUGAGUGAUCUUCUGGGUUGUCACCAAGGUCUCGUCAAGCCACAUUCUUGACUUUGCUUGGGGUUGCAGAAGAAGUAGAGCACCACGCUGUUUACCAAAAGGAAGACAAUACAGCCAAGACUGCAUCACACAGUCAGCCCUCAUGUGCCACACAAGAAUGCCCAGAGCACAGACCUGGGUGUGCCUCCCACAGGCUGGAGUGUGC